rnacentral:lncRNA from 1 species
AAGCCGUCGUGGUGGCUACAGCCAAACAGCAAGCCCAGAGGAGCAACAGGUAGGGACAAAGACACAAACAGAGGUAGCUAUAAAAGCAACAUCCACUGAAUGAGGCCAACAAACACCAAGGCAGCAGGAAAAUGAUUACCAAGAAGAAUGAGGUGCCAUUUCAUCAGAAGGAAGGAGAAAGGAUUGGGGUGUCAGCACCCUAGUAACUGUACUGGGUGGGUAUUAAGAUGCAAAGGCCAGAGCAUGAUCAAUAGUCUCAUUAGCUGUUUACAAUGCUAAAGUCACCAGGAGAAAUAAAAGUUGAAUGUCUAUUUAUUUAAUGGCAUUUGUUAAGCUCCUCAUCAAAUGAUGUGCCCAGUAUUGUGCUAGAUUCUGAAUAUGAAACGGUGAGAGGAAAAAAAUGUGCUUCCUGUCCUCCUUGAGCUAACAGUGUUGGGUCUAAAUAUUGCUUAUAAACAGUACUGUUGGUUUUGUGGUAGUGGAGAACCCAAACACUUCUGUAGUUUUAAGACUUGUCCAAUUAUGUAAUGGGCCACAGAUCACACACAAGAGAAUACUCAGAGACCUGUAUGGCAGAUUUCACAUCCAACCUAAAGAUUCACUGGCUUAACUUUGAGUACAGUCACUUGAAUUACUUACUGUUACUUGAAUUAGUUACUUGAAUAGCUACUAAAUAGGAACUGGUUUAAAUAGUCAUGACCUUGUGUAAACUGAAAACAGAAAUUCAUUAAUACUCCCAAUCUAAUUGCAUUUGGAAAAUACUUGCAGAAUCAUGGAGUUGGAAAGUCAUUAUCUACUCAAAGAGACAAUCCAGUCUCCUGCUUCUCUGUUUAUUUAUUCAUUCAUGUUGCAAAUCCUGAGUGAGUGCCUACUGCAUACCGGCAAUAUUAGGUUCUCCUUAAAUUCUGUUUGCGGCUGGAAGUGAUCCUAGACACCUCUGGCUCAGCUUCCCAACUCAUGCAGGAGAGGAACCUGAAGCUUAGAUAGAUUAUGGAACUCGCUCGAGAUCAUACAAGAAGUGGCAAUGCUGGGAUUUGAGCCCACGAUUGACAAAGCUUUUAUUCUUUGCAUUCUACCAUGCUGCCUCCAAAUAGGUCAAAUGACUAGAAAAAGAGAUUUAGGUUCAUAAUUGUCACUAUGCAUUUUUCCUACUAUGGGAACAAUUAUGAACAAUUCCAUAUGUGUCCAAUUUUAUAACAAUAAAGCGCAAAAGAACAUCUGUAUCUUUCUGUUGUAGGGUAGCAGCCUUGAAAUUUGUAUCUUGGUUUAUUGUAUUAGAUAUUUCUUGAAAUAAGCAGACCUUAAUUGAAAAGUGGAAAAUGUUUAUCAUAUCUAAUAUGAAUAUUUUUAAAUAAAUAAUUUUACUUAAGGAAUUUCCUAGAACCUG